UGGGGAAUAUUGGACAAUGGGCGCAAGCCUGAUCCAGCCAUGCCGCGUGAGUGAUGAAGGCCCUAGGGUUGUAAAGCUCUUUCACCGGUGAAGAUAAUGACGGUAACCGGAGAAGAAGCCCCGGCUAACUUCGUGCCAGCAGCCGCGGUAAUACGAAGGGGGCUAGCGUUGUUCGGAUUUACUGGGCGUAAAGCGCACGUAGGCGGACUAUUAAGUCAGGGGUGAAAUCCCGGGGCUCAACCCCGGAACUGCCUUUGAUACUGGUAGUCUUGAGUUCGAGGGAGGUGAGUGGAAUUCCGAGUGUAGAGGUGAAAUUCGUAGAUAUUCGGAGGAACACCAGUGGCGAAGUCGGCUCACUUGCUCGAUACUGACGCUGAGGUGCGAAAGCGUGGGGAGCAAACAGG
rnacentral:rRNA from 1 species